rnacentral:rRNA from 1 species
UACAGAGGGUGCGAGCGUUGUCCGGAAUCACUGGGCGUAAAGGGCGCGUAGGUGGUGGCUUAAGCGUGCGGUGAAAGCUCGGGGCUCAACUCCGAGUCGGCCGUGCGAACUGGGCUCACUGGAGCAUUGUAGAGGCAGGUGGAAUUCCGGGUGUAGCGGUGGAAUGCGUAGAGAUCCGGAAGAACACCGGUGGCGAAGGCGGCCUGCUGGGCUAUGGCUGACACUGAGGCGCGACAGCGUGGGGAGCAAACAGG